UCCAGUUAUUGCGAUGGAGGGACGGAGAAGGUUAGGCCAGCCUGGCGUUGGUUGUCCAGGUUUAAGGUGGUAGGCUGAAAUCUUAGGCAAAUCCGGGAUUUCAAGGCCGAGAGCUGAUGACGAGUUGCCUUUAGGCGACGAAGUGGUUGAUACCAUGCUUCCAAGAAAAGCUCCUAAGCUUCAGAUAACUGGGAACCGUACCCCAAA
rnacentral:rRNA from 2 species